rnacentral:rRNA from 1 species
CACGUAGGACGCGAGCGUUGUCCGGAAUUAUUGGGCGUAAAGAGCUCGUAGGCGGCCUGUUGCGUCCGCUGUGAAAGCCCGGGGCUUAACCCCGGGUCUGCAGUGGAUACGGGCAGGCUAGAGUACCAAAGAGGGUCGCGGAAUUCCCGGUGUAGAGGUGAAAUUCGUAGAUAUCGGGAGGAACACCGGUGGCGAAGGCGGCGACCUGGGUGGAUACUGACGCUGAGGUGCGAAAGCGUGGGGAGCAAACAGG